CAUAUACUCCCUCCGUCCAAAAAUACUUGUCAUAAAAAUGAAUAUAUCUAGAUGUAUUUUAGUUUUAGAUACAUUCAUUUUUUAUACAUUUUGCGACAAUCAAUUUCGGACGAAGGGAGUAAUAU
rfam:Hordeum vulgare subsp. vulgare, WGS project CAJW01000000 data, contig: morex_contig_366982